CCUGCUUCUGGCGCUCGGUGAUGCUCACGUCGUUGACGAUGGCGUCGCGGACCUCGCUGGGUUCGCUGGGUUCCAGGAUCCCGGCGCGGAC
rnacentral:tRNA from 2 species